rfam:Triticum aestivum genome assembly, contig: Triticum_aestivum_CS42_TGACv1_scaffold_221236_3B
AGCCCAUGAUUAGGACAUCUCCUGAAUAAGGCUUUGUAUCUCUCCCAAGCAUCAUUCAAGCUCUCGCCUUCAUGCUGAAUGAAAUUGAAGAUCUCAUCUCGAAUUGCGGAC